UGCCAGCCGCCGCGGUAAGACGGAGGGUCCUAGCGUUGUUCGGAAUGACUGGGCGUAAAGGGUACGUAGGCGGUUUGGUCAGUUAGAUGUGAAAGCCCAGGGCUCAACCUUGGAACUGCAUUUAAUACUGCCAGACUUGAGAUCGGAAGAGGAAAGCGGAAUUUCUAGUGUAGAGGUGAAAUUCGUAGAUAUUAGAAGGAACAUCAGAGGCGAAGGCGGCUUUCUGGACGGUGACUGACACUCAGACCCGAAAGCGUGGGGAGCAAACAGGAUUAGAUA
rnacentral:rRNA from 1 species